GACGAACGCUGGCGGCGUGCCUAAUACAUGCAAGUAGAACGCUGAAGAGAGGGGCUUGCUCUUCUUGGAUGAGUUGCGAACGGGUGAGUAACGCGUAGGUAACCUGCCUUGUAGCGGGGGAUAACUAUUGGAAACGAUAGCUAAUACCGCAUAACAAUGGAUGACACAUGUCCUUUAUUUGAAAGGGGCAAUUGCUCCACUACAAGAUGGACCUGCGUUGUAUUAGCUAGUAGGUGAGGUAAUGGCUCACCUAGGCGACGAUACAUAGCCGACCUGAGAGGGUGAUCGGCCACACUGGGACUGAGACACGGCCCAGACUCCUACGGGAGGCAGCAGUAGGGAAUCUUCGGCAAUAGGGGCAACCCUGACCGAGCAACGCCGCGUGAGUGAAGAAGGGUUUCGGAUCGUAAAGCUCUGUUGUAAGUCAAGAACGGGUGUGAGAGUGGAAAGUUCACACUGUGACGGUAGCUGACCAGAAAGGGACGGCUAACUACGUG
rnacentral:rRNA from 1 species